ensembl:lncRNA
CACACUUGGGGAGUUUGUGAUGGACAGGGAAGCCUGACAUGCUGCAGUCCAUGGGGUCACAAAGAGUCAGACUCGACUGAGUGACUGAACUGGACAUGAUUUGAUAUAUGUGAAUGUUGAGAAAGGAUUCCUGCCAUCAAUAAAGUAGCUCUUUUCUUUCUUGAUUGUUUACAUGACUUAGGAAAAAGCAAAGCCUUAGAGAAUAAGACAGCUACUGGUUUGAAUACUGGCUCUACCAAGUUACAAACUGCAAUAUGAGCCAAUGUUACUGAGUACAACAUAACACUCCAAAGAACCAUCAGACUAAGUGCUUCAAAAAUGAUGUAUUAACAACAUAAGAAUUAAAAGACAUCAUGAUGUAUUGGACAGAAAGCUGUUAAAUAUGACUGAAGAUAUGAGUCCACUACCUGGGAACAGACUGAGAGACUUACAGAAAGAGAGUCAAGAUGCCAGGACUCUCUCUAGUCACUCACUGGGGCAGCAUGCUUGGCCUACACUGUCACUAUGCCCCAACAGAGCAUGCUGUAUAGCUGCUUCUUCAAGUCUCCAAUGCUGGAAAAUGCCAACAAAGGCCCAGUCAGGACUGAAGUGAAUGCGGAAGCAACUUCCCUCAUUCCCUGGAAAGGAUGCAGCCUGAAGGAGGUCUGGCCUGGACCCUAGCCUUGACAGACUCAGGAAAUGGGGAGGAUUCCCUCUUGAGCUUUAUCUCCACUCUUUCACAGUUCAUCAUUUGUUCCAUGUGUUACAGUACCUUGACAAUUUUGAAGAACAUUAGUCAGAAAGCAUAUAUUAGGAAGAUCCCUG